CCUCCUCUGACGAGCCAGGCUGGGAACUCUGGAGGGCAGGAAGGGCACCAGUCCCUGCAAAGGCGGCAGCUGUCCUGGGUCUGCUCCCGGCUGGGCAGAGAAGGAGGCGCAGGGCCUGAGCCCCACCCCGUCGGUAGGAGGAAGCCAGCUCUGUGCAGAGGGAGAGUCAGCGUGGCUGCUGCAGGAUUCUGGUUUGAUUUGAGACACAUUUUGGGAUUCCUGAGGAAUUAUCCAAUCAUUCUGCAUCAUCAUCGUCAUCAUCAUCAUCCCCGGCACUGUCAUUAAGUGUCAGAAGCGAGGAGCGAAGAUUUCCUGUGCUGCUCUGGGCGGAGCACAUGGCCCCAGGUCGUCCUCACAACCUGAGCUCUGUGGACUCAGAAAUAAACACAGUGCUUCCUGAAGGCAGAGGGCGAGGAGCCUGGGGAGCCCACCCUGCUGACCAGAGCAGGGUGCAGGGAAGCUCUGAGAGGGCCCAGGGUCCAGCACCCCGCUGUCGACGCCAGGUGGAGCUGUUCAUCGUGACCUGCUCAGGCUCCCGGCGCUGUGACCUGAGGGGACAGUGGCUGACUUGGAGCUUCCAGAAGCUGCCUAGAGUGCUGGUACCCUCACCCAGCUGGGGCCGCUCCUCGGGGCUUCGGGGUGGGCGUUGCUGUCUCCAGCACAUGCCCCUGAGGUGGGGAUGCCUCUGGAUUCCUAAGGCUGCAUGCUUGAGCCUUCUUGGUGGAGGACACUCAGGUGACAGCGCUCAGGUGGGGGACUCUAGGGUGAGCCACAGCCCAGGGCCACAGUGUCAGCAUCGGGUCUCCAUCAGCGGCUAACUGGGAGCCCAGUGCCCUGCCUGCUCCCUUCGAGGCGCAGUCACGUCGGGUCCUCUGGCACAGUGUGGGCCCCACCUGUGUCCACCCCGGAAGGGCACACUCGGCAGCCAUGGCUCUUCCUCCUGCAGCUCAUGGAGUGGGACUCCGGCUGGCAGCUCAGUGGGGUGGACCUCGGUCGGCACCCCUUGGAGUCUGGGGUUUGAGUCUUUGCCUGUCGCUUGUCACAGCUGCCCCUUCCCAUGCCCGCGGGUGCUCAUUUGGGAACGGAUGGCAGUGACCUUUGCCUCCAGGCUCCUGGGAGUUGAAGGAGCCCUGUGAAGUCCAGUGUGCACCUCUCAGCCAUCAGAGACCCCCCCAGGGCUGCUCCUUGGGCUGUGUGUAUCGGUCACCCACAAGGGGUGGCCUUGGAGCUGCCCUCAGAGACCGCUCGCCGGGCGGGGAACAUGCUUCGCUCUGUGUACCACAGAAGGCCAUGGCUCCGGAGCCUGGAAGCUUCUCUGGCCUCCUCUCUCUCCCUUCUUCACCUUGGGCUGCCUUGGAGGUAAAAGUUUCCUCCACAGGAAGCCCCUGGAGUUGGGACUCCCAAGCAGGCUCUGUCGACAGAAAGGGGUACGGGACAGCCCCAGCCUCACUGGCCGCAUCACCCUGACUGUUGCUGCCCUGUCUCAGCGCCAUCUGCUUUCCACAGCCCUGUUCAGGUGCGUCUCAUGGGUGCUGCGGGUGGAGCAAUCGCCUCCUUCUCUCGAAGGCCACUCCCCUGCACACUCAGCCUACACAGAUGGCGGGGUUCUUCUGGGACCCCUGGAGCUCCGGGGUCCUGUCAAGCUCUGCAGCACGGCUGAGAGGUGGCUGUGCAGCCGGCAUCAGGUCCCUGCCUCCUUGGGAGCCCUCUGCUGAGCUGUCUAGUGACACACUUGUUCCAGCCCUCAAGCUCGCCAGCUGCCCCUUCCCCCCGAAAGGCUGCUUUCCCAGUAACCCACGCCCCAGACAGCAGCGGGGCCCUCAGGGCAUCUGUGGUCCCAGGGCUCCCGGUGGCCUCUCCUCUCUUCCGCUCAGGUGAGCUGUGGCAGUGGCCGCAGGAAGAUUCGCACUGACCCUGUGGGAGACAGAAAGUCGGACGGUGAGAACAUCUCCUUUCUUUUUGAAAUGUAUCAAGGCUUGAAAUGCAUUUUUGCAAAGGUCGCCAUCAUGCGGAAGAGCCAAGCAGUCACAUGCCCUGGGCCUCAGGGUGAGGACUUGGACCCUGCACGGCCAGCUGGGUCCUUGAGUCCCUUGUGACAGGCUAGCCAUGCUGGCUCUGUCCCCACCAGGCAGGUGGGGAGCCGAGAGGGGCCUCUGGGAGGAGAGGGUCUGCCCGUCCUCUGGCCACCAGUCCAGUGUCUUCCAAUGAUGGGGGGCGACGACAGGCAAGACUGUCCAUGGAAACAGAACGGUGGCCUUUGCUCAAAGACGGAAUUUCUGCUUCCUUUUGGGUACGGUAAAAAUAGCCUGUACCGCCCAGAAACUGUAGUCUGUGGCUGCUCAGGGUCUGUGAUCUUAAAGAAAAACAAACAGAUAAACAAAAUGUAUUGUUGCGGGGUUGUUGAGACCCAAAGGACACCCUCGCCCUCAUCACCAGGGACACGGUCAGCCUUUCCGUGUGGUGGCUCGCGUGCCCGCCAGGCCAGGAGGGCCCAGCCUGGGCUGCCUGUUCUUCGAGUCUCAGAGGGUGGGUUCCAGCCAGAGCCCCUGUCGUCAGCGUCCUCUUCCGCCAGCCGGGCCCUCCUCUCCUCCCUGGCAUAAGGAGAAGGGCAGCAGAGCGCCCAGGCAGGCUGGCAGGGUGGGCCAACCUGUUCGAGGACCUGCCCGCACCAGUUCUGAACAGGCCCAACCAGGCACCAGGGCCUCUUGUGGGGCCCUGCACACCUGCCGACCCAGGGUGAAGGUCAGGAGAGGCCACAGACCCAGGGAUCUGGCACGUGUUUGUUUCCCGAGUGCAACGGCUCCCAUUCACCCUGGCCAGAAGUGGGGCCGAGGAGCUCCCUCUCGAAGGCCGUCCGGGCAGAGCUGCGUGUGUGCACGCCCUGCCUCGCUCUGUGCUGAGGCACUUUCCUUCACAUGCAGAGGUGUGUGUGCAACACACAGCACAUACUUGCUCACACGGGUGCAUGCGCUCACACGGGUGCACACACACACUCACCUAAGGCAUGCAUGCUUGCUCAGGAACAUGCAUGCACUCACACAGGCACACCCACGUUCUUAUACACACCUCUGACACACACCUCGCACACACCUCUGAAAGCGAGAAACCCACCCCCUUCGGCCCCUGGGUUACAGGCAGACCAGAAUCCUGUCCCCUGCAGUGGACUGGUGUCCCAGGUCUCCCUCAGGACAAAGGGUUCCCUGGAGGGGCCUCAGCUUUGUUUGGCACAUGGAUAACCCAACCCAGGCCACUGAUGUGAGACGACAAAGCCUCGUGUGUCACCAUUGCUGAGCCUGGGAGCUCUGGGGACGCCUGGCUAGGAUUGACCUAGAGGGCGCAGUCAGGACAUGGCCCCUCCUGCCCCCUGCCCCAUCCUCAGAGGCCAUGUGCUUGCUCUGGCCCUGGGCAUUUUGUGCCAUAUCAAUGCUUUUCCGGCCGAGGACAGACACAGGCGCCUUGGCCCGAGGCUGCCGAGUGGCAGCAGGCAGCGAAUGGGGUCUCUGAGACUCAGCGUGGCCACACUGGGCACAGCCAGCAGCCCCUCCUGACCCCUGUCUGUCCCUCCCACCCACAGGCCCACGCCCCUCAUGUGUGCACCCCAGUGAGUAGAACAUGCCAUUGUUUCCUGCAAAACUAAAAUUUCAACAGCUCCUGGUGCUUCCUCUCCGCGGGUCCAGGGAGGGAGGAAAAGGCACAGACCCACUGGCUGCCUCCACCCGGACAGGGGAAGAGCUGCCACUCCUGCCCUUGCCCAGCAUGUCCUUCUGAUGAGUUCCAUGUGUCCCCCAGCGCAGCUCAGCUCCCGCCCUGAGGCUCCAGACACACCGUGUGGGCACAUGCGGAGAGGGCCAGGCUCUCCUCUCAGGGCCCUGCAGACGGGACAGAGGUGCCAUUAUAGGGGCACAGGCAAUUAUGCAUGAGAUACUCGUUCAAUUGUUUACCUAACUAAUUAACUUAGUUCAUCACAAAGAAUGGAAUUAAUUUUAUUUAUUGGGUUCAUGAAAGUCAAAGAAAGCCAACUUGGAAGAUGCACAUAAUCUGCACAGCAACUAUUUCUAGCACAAUAAAGUUUAUUUCCCAAAAGUGAAACCCAGCACUGGUGAGAGCAUAUCUAUAGCAACUGCCGAGUGAUUAUUCCUGUCUGUUUUCAGCAAUGAAAAGUCAAGACUAUGCACGUGGCUCCAGGUGCCCGCUCACAAGCACU
rnacentral:lncRNA from 1 species